AAUCUUGAUGCUUCAUAUAACCAAAGCAUCCGCCUGAGAACUACGAGCACAAACGCUUAAAACUCUAAGGACUUGGCGGUGUCCCAAACCCACCUAGAGGAGCCUGUUCUAUAAUCGAUAACCCACGAUACACCCGACCACUUCUUGCCAAAACAGCCUACAUACCGCCGUCGCCAGCUCACCUCUUUUGAGAGCGCCACAGUGAGCACAAUCGCCCUAACCCCGCUAACAAGACAGGUCAAGGUAUAGCUCAUGAAGUGGAAGAAAUGGGCUACAUUUUCUAGCUUAGAAAACUCACGAAAAGGGGCAUGAAAUAGCCCCUAGAAGGCGGAUUUAGCAGUAAAGCGGGAUAACACAAGCCCCCUUUAAGCCGGCCCUGGGGCACGUACACAC
rnacentral:rRNA from 1 species